CUAUUGAAUUUCUAUAUUUUUUUAUAUUUUUUAUUUGAACUAAAUAAUAAACUUAACAAGAUUUAAAUUUACCAAAUCUACUAUCUUUUUACUUCAAUCUCACAUUCAUAAUCAUAUUAGAUAAAAAGAUACUAUCUUUAUCAAAGUCUUUUGAGUUAUAUUCAUUUUUUGAUUGUAUAGUUUGCAUAGUUUGUAUUAAAGUUGAAAGAUUGUAUAAACUUAAACUUUCUAAUAUAUUUAUGAGUUCUAUCUUGCUUAAAGUAUUAAAAUCAUUUAACAAUCUAAGAUAAUUACUUAUAAUAGAAGAAGAGUGAAUACUAUGAAAUAAAAUUUUAUUUUUUAUAUCUUUUUUAAUAAAAAAUUGAUUAUUUUUUAUAUAAAAAUAAUUUCUAAAAUGAUUAUUGCUUAUU
rnacentral:misc_RNA from 1 species